ACAUCUGCAAAAUCAGAUGUCGGGUUUGAGACCCCGUUGUGAUUAUCGCGACAUCUACACGCCGCGAGCGCGUUUUUU
rnacentral:sRNA from 1 species